UCCGUAGGUGAACCUGCGGAGGGAUCAUUACUGAGUUUACGCUCUAUAACCCUUUGUGAACAUACCUAUAACUGUUGCUUCGGCGGGUAGGGUCUCCGUGACCCUCCCGGCCUCCCGCCCCCGGGCGGGUCGGCGCCCGCCGGAGGAUAACCAAACUCUGAUUUAACGACGUUUCUUCUGAGUGGUACAAGCAAAUAAUCAAAACUUUUAACAACGGAUCUCUUGGUUCUGGCAUCGAUGAAGAACGCAGCGAAAUGCGAUAAGUAAUGUGAAUUGCAGAAUUCAGUGAAUCAUCGAAUCUUUGAACGCACAUUGCGCCCGCCAGCAUUCUGGCGGGCAUGCCUGUUCGAGCGUCAUUUCAACCCUCAAGCUCUGCUUGGUGUUGGGGCCCUACAGCUGAUGUAGGCCCUCAAAGGUAGUGGCGGACCCUCCCGGAGCCUCCUUUGCGUAGUAACUUUACGUCUCGCACUGGGAUCCGGAGGGACUCUUGCCGUAAAACCCCCAAUUCUCCAAAGGUUGACCUCGGAUCAGGUAGGAAUACCCGCUGAACUUAAGCAUAUCAAUAAGCGGAGGA
rnacentral:rRNA from 1 species